UCCAAACUGGUGUAAUUGGGAACACAGCCGGGUCUUACUCGCUUCCAGCGAGCCCUUCGGGGGACGGUAGAUCCAGGUUCGAAUCCUGGGAUUGGAA
rnacentral:tRNA from 4 species